rnacentral:rRNA from 1 species
CACUUUCUUCCGUUAACGUUGUCACCACCCACCACUCUCUCGCCGCACACACCACACCGGGAUAGUUUUUAUCCGUUGCGGAAAGCUAUUUUUUCCGGUUUUUAUUUAUUUAGCGGCGAAGAAGAAGGAGGCCAUUAGGAGAGGGGAAGGAAGGAAGGAGGGAGGGAGGAGGCAGAGGAGGAGGCGCGGUAGGCAGGUUAGGCGGGUUUUAAUGGGGAGGUUAGCGGGGCGUUUACGAGGCGCUAGCGGGCGCGCAACGGGUUAGGCGGCGCGGUAAUCGCGGGUGGUAAAAACAACAACCCCCUCCCAACUAACCAACUAACUAAAGCUUUCCUCCAUCGAAAAACGAAGAACAUCCCAUUAAUCCCUAUCGCCAUCCUCCUCCGCCUCCUCCGGUACCACCUGCUCAUGGUGGUGGCCUACCCGCGGCGCCGCCGGCUGAAGGCCGCGCUGGACCUCCUGGAGCAGACGCUGGUGGAGCCGCCGACGAUGAGCGGCGGCGGGAGGAGCAGGAGCAGCGAGACGAGGCGCCGCCCGCCGCCGCCGCCCCCUCCGCGGCUCCCGCCGCCUCCGCAGCCGCCCCGGCCGCUCCUCCUCCGGCUCAGCAGCGCCGCCGCCGCCGCGCUCAGCGCCGACGAGUCGGCGACCCAGCGCGCCGUCCGCCUCCUCCACGAGAGGAGGUACCUCGCGCUCCACCUCGCCGCCUUGGCGCUCAGCCUCGAGGAGCGCGAGUGGGCCGAGGUGGGCCAGAGGUGGGAGCUGGGGAGGCGCAAGGAGGAGAGGAGCGGGGGCGGCGGCGCGGGAGUCCGCGGGAGCGGGCGGCGCGGGAGGAGGGACGAGGUCUACACCGCCCUCGAGCUCGUGGCGGCGCGGCUGCGGCCGGUCGGGAAGCUGGCGCUCGGCAGGGGCCUGUGCGGGCUGGCGGUGGCGCUCGCGCACGCGGUCUAGCGGGCGGCGGAGUGGUGGAGGUGCCUGUCGGGGUGCCGGCGCCGGCGGUGCCGGUGCCCCCUCACCGAGCCGCUCUGCCUCUCCGUCUCCCAGUCCGAGCAGUCCCUCACCCACGUCUACCGGUCGGUCGGCGCGCUGCGGGCGCGCCGGAGGGCGUCCCUCCUCGGCUGGCGGCGCCUCUCCCUCUCCGCUCCCCUCGGAGGGGCCGAGGCACCGGCCGUCCGCGCGUGGCUACAGUAGUGAGCCUACAGGGCCCUCGCAGUCGCGCUCGACGUCCCCGAUAGCCCCAUGGUGUAACACAGCGUCAAGGGGGUCGCGUCGGCGUCGGCGUAAGUCCCUAACGAAUCCCAUUCCAAGAACUCCUUGCGCCACCGAGGUCGUCUUCUCCUCGCUGUCGGUAGACACCGCCGCUCCCUCGAGCCCGUCAACUCCGUCUCGGUAGCACACAGGUGGAAUUCUAGUCUCUCACGACAUUCAUCAGUUCUACAAUCGGACAGACUACGAGGACAGCGGCUUUUACAAGGUAAUGAACCAUUACUACUUUGACUUGUCCCCCGACUUCAACCCGUGGAAUGACAAUCACUCCUACACCGGGUUUGAUGCGGGCUCUUACACCCAAAUGUCCUCCUAUUGCAUCUACAACGACUCCGCCUCAGUGGCCGAUGUUGUAGCCCACUGUAUCAACUAUACGUUCACAGAGUUCAACUAUUACCCGACGUUCAACUCCGUCUUGCACUCUGUUAUAAAACCGUCGGUAGAAACCUACAGUCCGAACUAUCCACCGGGUUACUUUGACGUCUCUUAAGACUGUCUUUAACCCUUCUAUUACGUCUCCUCAAUGUGUCGCUUUAGCGCCUCCUACUACUGUCCCUCUUACUUUUAGAGGUUCUACUCGUACUACGCACCGUGCUACUGCUUAGAGUACCGUGGCUCCUCUUGACCGUUCUACUACUGAAGGUACUACGACGUGAACUGUGUCCCGGGUAAGGAUCUUAACUUUUGUCGAAGUUGGAUGCACUACUUCGGUUAAACGUGUUGUACCUUGACUCCCUUAAUGAAUCGUCCGCUUCACAUAGGUUAGAAGAAUCAUUACCAAAACCACUGUCAAACCUCGUUAAUUAUUCCAGUAUACAAGUUGCUGCACCGGUACGGGGUGAGUUGACCUUAGAGCUAUGUCGGUACGGGUGACGCUUACGUGGUUUACCUUUGGUCCUUGAUCAUUCUUUACGACUUUUAGCCGUUAAGGUUCCAGGACGGUUGUCUGGACGGGAACAAUAGGGAGGUGGUGGAAACGGUGGCGCCGUCGGUGACACCGUGUCUCUAAACGCGGUAUUGUGGACCUCGUCAUCUGUGUCCCAUGUAGUCCUUAACCUGCGGUAAUUACUAAACUUUCGACUGUACUUAUUUGAGGUUGUUCCCUACUCGUCGUACGUUUCCUACAACCUCCGCACGUACCUGUACGUUGACCUCAACGUUGCAAGUCACUCUGUUCUUCACAGACGUCGGAACUCAUCUAAGGGCCCUGGACUUCCAACGUACAAAGACCUAGAUGUGCUACUGCCUUGCUCUACCCUGGUCCACUCCUUUCCUUGGACGACGCAUACGACGCUGUGUGUUUAGCUAAGAGAUGAGAUGUCUACGCCCGUGUACACGUGCACGAGCUUUACGCGCUUGCUCGACCACGCGUCGCCGCCGUUCACGGGCGACACGGCCCGCGGCUAGCACCUCCACCAGGCCCGUAUGCGCCACGACAUUUAAUAUGUUGUUGUCAGCAGCCUUCAAAACCGCGCCCUCCGAGCCAGCGCUUUGACCCCUCCUUUUCUCUCUUCGUUCUGGGGACGAAGAAAAAGUAGAAUGACAAACAAAAGGAAUCGAAAAGACCCAGACAGAGGGGUACAUCGGAAGGACACAUGGUAGAAUGUCCUAAGUGUAAUGUAUGUAUAUAUAGUCGGCGGUGGCGGCGGAACGGCGGGCGUGGACCGCCGCGUCCGCCGCUUCCCGCCGUCGCACGCGCACGCAACGCAGCACAAUAACUAACCACUUUCUCAAAUGGUACCCAAUCAUUAUCAACAAUCAUCAUCGUCGUCGUCGUCCCUUUCCCUGGGUUGGGUCACAUUUUCAAGAAAGCGACAUAAAUACGGGGGGAGAGUGGUGUCGUGUUCUACUCAACUCUACUCUACUCUACUCUAUGAGGGUUGGGUUUACUAUAUUAUCUAAGAACAAUUGAAGUAGGUGUAGGAACACAACACAACACAACAUACUGGUCAGGAGAAGGAACGAUUACAAACAACAUUUAUAA